rnacentral:snoRNA from 1 species
GGCCUCCUGGUGCUUACCACAGCUGUGUUCUCACACGGACGGUGUAGAAAGAGGAGGCAAAGUGAACCUACCCCACAUACACCUCAGCACAGGCCCUGGGCCUCAUCUGUAUUGUGAGUGGGGAGACAUAG